CUUUCUGUUGAAGUGUAUAAGUGGAGUGCCUAGCCCUUUCCAUUAGAUCGGUCUUUUGGUUGCGUUGGCUAGCGCAUGAAGCUCUUCACUUUUUAGAAGAU